rnacentral:rRNA from 1 species
CAAUAGCGUAUAUUUAAGUUGUUGCAGUUAAAAAGCUCGUAGUUGGAUUUCGGGCGGGACGCAGCGGUCUCGCAUUGCGUUUGUACUGCUGCAGCCCUCCUUCUUGCCGGGGGCGGCCUCUCGGACUUCACUGUCUGGGGGUCAGAAUCGGCGAUGUUACUUUGAGUAAAUUAGAGUGUUCAAAGCAAGCUUACGCUCUGAAUAUAAUAGCAUGGGAUAACACGACAGGACUCUGGCCUAUCGUGUUGGUCUAUAGGACCAGAGUAAUGAUUAAGAGGGACAGUCGGGGGCAUUCGUAUUCCGUUGUCAGAGGUGAAAUUCUUGGAUUUACGGAAGACGAACAUCUGCGAAAGCAUUUGCCAAGGAUGUUUUCAUUGA